rnacentral:rRNA from 1 species
CGCAAGCCUGACGGAGCAAUACCGCGUGAGGGAGGAAGGCUUUUGAGUUGUAAACCUCUUUUAUCAAGGAAGAAGCAGUGACGGUACUUGAAGAAUCAGCAUCGGCUAACUCCGUGCCAGCAGCCGCGGUAAUACGGAGGAUGCAAGCGUUAUCCGGAAUCAUUGGGCGUAAAGCGUCCGCAGGUGGUCGCUCAAGUCUGCUGUCAAAGACAGAAGCUCAACUUCUGAGCGGCAGUGGAAACUGGGGGACUAGAGUACGGUAGGGGUUGAGGGAAUUCCCAGUGUAGCGGUGAAAUGCGUAGAGAUUGGGAAGAGCACCAGUGGCGAAGGCGCUCAACUGGGCCGUAACUGACACUCAGGGACGAAAGCUAGGGUAGCG